rnacentral:rRNA from 1 species
GACGAACGCUGGCGGCGUGCUUAACACAUGCAAGUCGAACGGAAAGGCCCUGCUUUUGUGGGGUGCUCGAGUGGCGAACGGGUGAGUAACACGUGAGUAACCUGCCCUUGACUUUGGGAUAACUUCAGGAAACUGGGGCUAAUACCGGAUAGGAGCUCCUGCUGCAUGGUGGGGGUUGGAAAGUUUCGGCGGUUGGGGAUGGACUCGCGGCUUAUCAGCUUGUUGGUGGGGUAGUGGCUUACCAAGGCUUUGACGGGUAGCCGGCCUGAGAGGGUGACCGGCCACAUUGGGACUGAGAGACGGCCCAGACUCGUACGGGAGGCAUCAGUGGGGAAUAUUGCACAAUGGGCGGAAGCCUGAUGCAGCAACGCCGCGUGCGGGAUGACGGCCUUCGGGUUGUAAACCGCUUUCGCCUGUGACGAAGCGUGAGUGACGGUAAUGGGUAAAGAAGCACCGGCUAACUACGUG